rnacentral:rRNA from 1 species
UACAGAGGUCUCAAGCGUUGUUCGGAUUCAUUGGGCGUAAAGCGCACGUAGGCGGCAUUGCAAGUCGGAUGUGAAAUCCCUCGGCUUAACCAAGGAAGUGCAUCCGAAACUGCAGUGCUUGAGUACGAAAGAGGAUCGCGGAAUUCCCGGUGUAGAGGUGAAAUUCGUAGAUAUCGGGAGGAACACCAGUGGCGAAGGCGGCGAUCUGGGUCGAUACUGACGCUGAGGUGCGAAAGCGUGGGGAGCAAACAGG